rnacentral:rRNA from 1 species
GACGAACGCUGGCGGCGUGCAUAACACAUGCAAGUCGAACGGAAAGGCCCUGCUUUUGUGGGGUGCUCGAGUGGCGAACGGGUGAGUAACACGUGAGUAACCUGCCCUUGACUUUGGGAUAACUUCAGGAAACUGGGGCUAAUACCGGAUAGGAGCUCCUGCUGCAUGGUGGGGGUUGGAAAGUUUCGGCGGUUGGGGAUGGACUCGCGGCUUAUCAGCUUGUUGGUGGGGUAGUGGCUUACCAAGGCUUUGACGGGUAGCCGGCCUGAGAGGGUGACCGGCAACAUUGGGACUGAGAUACGGCCCAGACUCCUACGGGAGGCAGCAGUGGGGAAUAUUGCACAAUGGGCGGAAGCCUGAUGCAGAAACGCCGCGUGCGGGAUGACGGCCUUCGGGUUGUAAACCGCUUUCGCCUGUGACGAAGAGUGAGUGACGGUAAUGGGUAAAGAAGCACCGGCUAACUACGUG